GGAGCAGGCAUGGUAGGAGGAGGUAUGGGGGGGAUGGGAGGAGGUAUGGGAGGAGGAGUAGGAGGUGGGAUGGGAGGAGUAGGUGGAGGAGGUUUGGGGGGAAUGGGCAGUGGUGGAGGAAUAGGGUCCAGAGCUGGAGAGCCGUAUCGUCUGGCUGCUCAUGACAGCCCAACCUCCCCUCGACACAUGCAGUCCAGCCAAGGGUCGGGCAUGGGGCAGGUCUCAGGAUCCGGCCAUGGGGUGGGUCACACUGCAACUGGCUCCAGUAUGGCAGGCCACGGUGGCCAAAGUCCCGGUCAGCAUGCCUCCCGCCGAAACCUCCAAGUCGACUUCAGUGGCUCAGGUGGUUCUCGGACGGGCCGGUCUCCUUCAGUGUCUCCAGACCGUGGCGUGACUCCCACCUCGCCCUACUCCCUGCCGCAGAUCGCACCCAUGCCAAGCAGCAAACUGUGCCCAGUGUGCACCACCACAGAGCUGUCCAAUCCACCGGCUGUACCCAACUACAACACCUGCACCCAGUGCAAGUCCACCGUGUGCAAUCAGUGUGGAUUCAACCCCAACCCCCACCUUACUGAGGUCCAGGAAUGGCUAUGUCUGAAUUGUCAGAUGCAGCGAGCUCUUGGCAUUGAUAUGACCACACCUCGCUCAAAGAGCCAACAGCAAAUUCACUCUCCGUCCCACCAAGCCAAGCCCAUCGUCCAGCCACAGCAGCCCGUUCCACAGCCAACACAACCGGCUGCUGCUGCACAGCCCAAACCUCUGGCACAGAGUCAGUCGACUCAACAGCAACAACAACAACCUCAUUCCCAGCCUUAUGGCCAAACUAAUCCCUACUCCCAGUCUCAACCGCACUCCCAGUCCCAGCCUUAUUCCCAGUCCCAGCCAUAUUCCCAGUCCCAGCCGUAUUCCCAGUCCCAGCCAUAUUCCCAGUCCCAGCCAUUUUCCCAGUCCCAGCCAUAUUCCCAGUCCCAGCCAUAUUCCCAGGUUCAACCGUAUUCCCAAUCCCAGCCAUAUUCUCAGUCCCAACAGUAUCCCCAGUCCCAGCCUCAGCCUUACCCUCCAUCACAACCAGGACCCCAGAUGCAGCCUCAGACACAUCCAGGCCUUGGUGGCCCCCAGUCUAAGACAACACCCUCUCAGCAGGGCCUGAGGUCUGACCUGUACUCCCAGAGAGGUGUUGGAGCUCAAGGAGGGGCUGGAGGUCCGACAGGUAGCCCUGGCCAACAAGGAGGUCCUCGAAUUCCCCACCCAGGUGCUGUACCUCUGCCUGGGUUGACUAAGGCACCCUCCCAGCCAGAUUUGGGUCGAGGUUCUCCGAUGCAUCAACCUAUGACACGUCACCAUGAUCAGACGAGAAGUGCUGGAUCUUCCCCAGCCCACCGACCUCAGAGUCAGGCCCCUGCCCAGGAUGGUCUGACCAAACUGUUUGGCUUUGGGGCAUCGCUGCUCAAUCAGGCUAGUACCCUGAUCAACGUUGAUCCUCUACCCACAGCCUCAACACAGCCAAGCCCUGCGCGAGGUAAGGUGGUGUUCAGCAAUGCAACUCCCGAUAACAGACAACAAGGGACCAGCAGCACUAAGCCUUUCAGCAUGGGGGGUCCUCAAGCCCCAAGCCAAAUUGGGGCUCCACAGGCAACAAGUCAAGGGGGAGGUUUGAGUGGACCAAGCCAAAUGGGAGGACCAUAUCCACCAACCCAAAUGGGGGGACCUCAAGCACCAAGUCAAACGGGCGGUCCUCAUGCACCCGCUCCAACAGGAGGCACCAUCGGUGGACCUCAAGGGCCAACCCAAAAGCAACAGCAGCAGGCUGGACUCCAAAAACAACAAAUGCCGCCACAGCAGCCACUUACUCAGCGUCAAAAAGAGCAGCAAGGACAGCAGAUGCCUAUUCCCCAGCAGAAAGUGUUGCAAAAACAGGAACCAGUGUCAGCGCCCGUGACUGCUCCAGAAGCCGAGAAGCCCAAGGUGAACUGUCCUCUCUGUAAAACAGAGCUGAACAUCGGCAGCACCGACACACCCAACUACAACACCUGUACACAAUGUCAAAGCCAAGUGUGCAACCUGUGUGGCUUCAAUCCAACACCGCAUCUAGUAGAGAAAAAAGAGUGGUUAUGUCUUAACUGCCAGACCCAGCGGCUGUUGUCUGGAGGCGCCCUUGACGAGCCUCCUCUUCCUGUUCCCCAUCCCUCCCCGAAGCACCAACCACUGGGCUCGCCUCGUCACCAGACGCCGACCAGUCAACAAAGCCCUCUCCACAAGUCGACCACUCAGCAAGGACCCAAACCGGUCCAACCCCAGGGACAAAAAUCCCAGAUGGGAACAGGUGUCGAUGGACCUACUGGUCCCACGCCUGCCAAACAGCCCACCGAUGCCAAGACCACAACGCCAGCCACAGCACCAGUCCCAACCACCGAGGCCCAGAAACCCACGAAACCAACAGAGGAGAAGCCCAAGACGGAGCCUGAGAACCAAACUGCCAAAGAGACCAAACCUUCACAGAAGAAAGGGGAACAGAUCACUCCAGUAAAGGAAAUUAAGAAGUCAAGGCACUAUGACGACACAAAAAACAACAGCACCCAUGACUUGUCACGCAGCCCUCAGAGUCUUAGUGACACUGGCUACUCCUCUGAUGGGAUCUCCAGCUCACACAGUGAAAUUACAGGUCUAAUCCAAGAGGAGGAAAUGAAGCUGAGUGAGAGGGGAAUCAGUGGGCGGGGCUCACCUCCUAGCCCCUCUGAAAUCACCAAGCUAGAGAGCUCGAUGAGGCCACUGCUGGAGAAAAGCCUCUCUGAGGAAAAGCCAGACAGAAGGGGAAGAAAGCACAGGGACAGAGACUUGGAUGAGAGAGGAAAGCAUCGACCACGUUCCCUUUCAAUUCCUCCAGAUGCAUAUGAUUCUGAUGAGGAAUUAGAGGAUAUACUGGAGGAAGAGGAAGAUGGCGGAGACUGGGAGAGUAAACGGAAAGAAGGAAAGGAAGAGAGAAAAGAAAAGAAGAAGAAGGAAAAGGAAAAAGAGGCUGAUCCAACAGAAAUGACUGAUGAGGAGUUCAUGAGGAGACAAAUAAUGGAGAUGAGUGCUGAUGAGGACAAUGAGGAGGAGGAGGAAGAGGAAAUGGAGGAAGACGAAGAUGAGGAAGAUGAAGGUUAUGGCUACCAGAAACUGAAGAAAAGCCACCAUAAGCACAUCAUUUCUGACUCAGGGAAAGAAAAGAGACGGCUUCAGCACCAUUCGAGUAGUUUUGAGGAAGAAACCAAGACCUCUGCCGAUGUGUAUAAGGGUUCUGUGGAGGAGGGGGAGGAAGAUGUGAUGGCGUCCCAAGGGGGGCUGAGGCGUUUUAAGACCAUUGAACUCAACAACACCAACAGCUACAGCCGAGAUAUGGAGUUGAGCAAUGAAAAUGAUCUAAACCUGGAUCGGGAGCCAGAGCUGGAGAUGGAGAGUUUAACCGGAUCUCCAGAGGAGCGUUCUAGGGGGGACUAUUCUUCAACUUUGCCUCCAACUUCAUCUUCAUAUGGUUCAGGACAGUCUCCAACAUCCAUCUCAUCAAUGGAGGAAGACAGUGACAGUAGCCCAAGCAGGAGGCAAAGACUGGAGGAGGCCAAGCAGCAGAGAAAAGCACGCCACCGGUCUCAUGGCCCCUUGCUUCCGACCAUUGAAGACUCCUCAGAAGAGGAUGAACUCAGAGAGGAAGAGGAACUUCUGAGAGAGCAGGAGAAGAUGAGAGAGGUAGAACAGCAGAGAAUAAGAAGCACAGCGAGAAAAACCAAAAGGGAUAAGGAGGAGCUGAGGGCCCAAAGACGCAGAGAAAGAUCCAAAACGCCACCUAGUAAUUUGUCACCAAUUGAAGAUGCUUCCCCUACAGAGGAACUAAGACAAGCAGCAGAGAUGGAAGAGCUUCAUCGCUCCUCUGCUUCUGAAUAUUCCCCCCAAAGUCUGGACUCUGAGGCUGAGGGUUAUGAGUCCAAAAUCUACAAGUCGGGCAGCGAAUACAAUCUGCCUACUUUCAUGUCUCUCUAUUCACCUAUAGAGAAAUCUUCCUCAACUACAACAACCACUGCACCAUCAUCGACCUCCAAACCUCUGAAGAGCGCUGAGGAAGUUUACGAGGAAAUGAUGAGAAAAGCAGAAAUGCUGCAAAAACAAGAAAAGUUACAGCAGCAGCAGCAACGACAUGGACAGUACUAUGAGGAGGACAUUAAUGGACAAAACUAUGACGACGACUAUGACUAUGAACAAGAUCAAACGGGAUAUGACAAUGAAGCAGCAGAAAUAGAAAAUGACAUUUACGAGGAAAUCCGACAAACAUCUCAGAACAUCACUAAGAUGCAACAGGCCACAAAUGAGCAAGUCGAGAUUGAAAUUGAGAGUUCUUUUGCAGAUAAGCAGCUGCUGGACACAGGCUCAGCCUUUGCUAAACUACUAGAGCAAAGUAAUGCUCUGUUAACUCCUGGAACAAGUCCUACCCAGGUCUCAGCUCCUGUCUCCUUUGCUGAGAGUGGAGGUCGAAUACCAGACGUGAGAGUAAGCCAGCACUUCACUGCAAAGGAUGGGCACAAAGACAGAAUUAAAAGCCAAGCAGGAAAGAAUGGCAUAACUCCAGCAGUGGCUGCUACCACCAUUGCAGCUUAUGGGGUUUAUGCCAGAGACGCAGUAACAAUUUCCCAAACAGGAUCAAGCCACACAAUGACAUCAACCCAAUCUGAUACCUCACGCAGACACACAGGGAGUCUUGCCACAUCCUCAGCUACAGUCUCAAGUGUAUGUAGCAAGAUCGCAGAGAUUACCCAGGCCUAUAGUCAAAGAGAAGUAAUCACCAGAAGGAUUGGGGAGACAAGAGGUGUUCAAGUGCGAGACAGCUCGACAUCAUCUGCUGAGAGGAUUAUUGAACCACGCUCUCCUAAGUAUACUACCUAUUACAGGAGCACGAGUCCUCCUCUCUCUCCAUCACCACCACCACCACAAAGUCCUAUUCGCUCUCCUUCCAGAAGGUCUACCGCUGAGUUCUCCACACAGACCUUCAGCUCAGCACUGCGAAUGGAGCCAGCUGGUUCUGGGCCCACAUCACCUGUGAUGGCUCAGGGAACCCAAACAGCACAUCGAUCAAUUUCCCCAAGGCUAUAUCGACAACAGUCUUCCCAGGAGGCUCCAUACUCCCCACCUCCAGGUCCAACUAGGCCAAUGACAGUGAACACUGCAACUUCUCCGUUAUCCUCACCCACUCGAUUUAGCCGUCAGUCAACAUUUGAUAGCUACUCUCCAUGUGGCAGCCCCCCAGACACACCACCUUAUCAACAGUCACCUACACACAGCUUUUAUAGAGCACAAAGAGUGGAGAAGGUGAAUGUAGGGACAAGCAUGGUCACUACUGCUAGCUUAUACACCAGAGGGUCUGUGUCCAUGGAUAAUAUCUCCCUCUGCCGAAUAUCUACAGUCCCGGGCACCUCAAGGGUUGAGCAGGGACAUAUGAUCCAAUGUGGUAGUGUUGUAGAUCUAAGAACUGCAACCCACUCAGCUCCCAUUAUUAUGACCGAUCAGGGAAUGGACCUUACUUCUUUAGCUACAGAAAGCAGGAAAUACCAUGGUGAACCAGAAGGUUCCAGGCAUUCAACAAUCAUACAACCACUGAUUAUGAAUUUGAACACACAAGAGACCACCACACCUACCACAGUGAGUGUCACUGUGGCUGCUUCUAUGUUUAUGACCCAGCUAAAACAACCAGUGGUUUAUGGUGAUCCCCAUCAAAACCGAAUAGAUCUAGGUCAGGGCAUGGGCUCAGCGGUGUGUCUUUCUCAGAACAAAUCAUCAAUUUCUCCUCCAACUGACCCUUCCAUUCCAAAAAUUGAUGCAAAAUUGGAAGAUCUCAGCAUACAACAAAGAGAAUUGCAAAAACAACAAGAGAAGCUACAGAAACAACAAGAGCUCCUUGAACAACAGCUACAACAGCACCAUCAGUUGCAACACCACCAACUACAGGCAUCUGUUCUAGCCAAGUAUAACCUUACAGGCCAGGUCUCACCUUUGGCUAAAAAAAAUGUAUUAGUCAGCCAGACUAGUACUGCAUCUACAGUGGUCAGUGCUGUUUCACCAGUCAUUAAUCCUGAGCUUUAUAGCACUGGUCCUGUUGAGCUGAAAGGGAAGCAAAGCCCACCUGGUUUGAUGCAGGGAGGUAAAUCACCACAUAGUAUGGUUGUACAAAUGGAUGGAGGGCCCGAGCCAGUAAGGGCAUUGACUCAACUUGUGAAGGUAGAAGAAGGACAGGACGCAGUGGAUUUGACAGGAGGCCAAAUAAAACCUGACCAACCAGCUUGUUGUGAUGUAGUUUACAGACUGCCAUUUGGUGGAAGUUGUGUUGGUGUCUCUGAGAAAGAGGGCAUAAGACCACCAUCUGCCCCACCUAUCACAGAUGAGUCAGAUCAAGAAAGACAGCCUGGAAGGUAUCAUGAGUACCCAAUGGAUGAACGUAAGGCUUACACAUUACCUUUUCCUGGUAGGCUUCAGCCUUCAAUGUCUGAUACGAACCUUGCUGAUGCCGGCUUACAGUCAUACCACUCUAAAUAUGAGCCACAACUCCAACAACCUGGUGAACUUGUCAUGGACUUAACCGCUAUGAAACAGAGCUAUGGAGGAUAUAUGGGCAUGCAGUAUGGUUCCUACACAGAUUUACGUCAUGGAGGAGACAUUUCAGCACAAACGUUGCCGAUAAGACGAUACAAUUCCUUGUCUAACAUCAGUUCAGAUUAUGGUUAUUCUGCUCGUGAUAUUGCAAGCUUCCAAGAAGCUAACUUGGCUCAGUACAGUGCUACAACUGCAAGGGAGAUAAGUCGAAUGUGUGCCGCACUUAAUUCUAUGGACCGAUAUGGAAGCAACCCAGACUUGCUGCAGUAUGGCAGCUUAGGCAGAGGUACUGGACCAGGUGCCUCCAGACUUGCAGCAGGUAUUGGCAUGAGGCAAAGUCUGAUCUUUGGAUUAGAUGGAAAGCCUAUGUCUCAAAAUCAAGCUCUGACGAAUCUUAUCAAUGCCAGGCAGGCUAGUCUGAGGGCCAUGUACCCUGCUGCUAUUAGGUCAUCUGACAGAAUGAUUUAUUCCACCAUUCAGACCCCAAUAGCUUCAACACUUCCCAUCACCACCCAACCUGCAUCUGUACUUCGACCUCUUCUGAGAGGGGUUUAUAGGCCAUAUGCUUCUCCCAACAUGACACCAGUGCCCCUGGCCAGUCUCACCAGAUUACCCAUAAGCCCAAGAAUGCCCUUAACCGGACAAGUACCACUUCGUUAUCCAGCACCAGGUCUGCUUCAGACAACUUCAGCCACUGCUUCUACCACUGUUGCUGCCUCAACUUCAGCACUAGGAGCAGCCCUUGUGCCCAUGUCUUUGACAACCACAAGCUCAACAGCCCAGGAGGAACCUGUUUACCUUGGUAAAGGUGCCAAAGUGACAUCAACAGAGGUCACUUCAGCACAAGGAGAGCUUAUCACUUUGACCAAACCACAGCAGCAACCAAUAAACCUUUCCCAGACACAUCUGAACACCCAACAACAGAAACAAGUGACAACGGCUCAGCAGCCACAGCCUCCUCCUGCAGCUCACGUAUACCCUCCCUCAAGUCCAGCAAUAACCCAAGGCUACACUCAACCUGCUGCAGGCCCAUCGGUCCCCACUAGUGGCUUGCCUAUUCCAUGUGGUCUUCCUCCUUUCCCUCCACCAGGUGCAAUACAUAAAGAGGGUGAAACUGAGGCAGAGAGGCUUCACCGACAGCAGGAGCAGCUCCUACAGAUGGAGAGGGAGCGUGUAGAGUUAGAGAAACUUCGUCAGCUGCGACUGCAAGAAGAGCUUGAACACGAAAGAAUGGAGCUGAAGUUUCACAGGGAGAAGGAGCAAAUUCUGGUGCAGAGGGAGUUACAAGAGCUGCAGAACAUCAAGGAACAGGUAUUACAACAGCAGCAGCAAGAGCGCGAGAAACAACUCGUUCUCCAACGAGAGCAGUUGGCCCAGCAGAAAUCCCAACUCGACCAGAUACAGUCUUUGCAGCACCAGCUCCAGCAACAACUACAAGAGCAGAAGAGGCUGAAAACUGCUGCUCAGACCAUGCAGCUGGAUAUGACCGGACAGCCACUGCAUCCUUACAUAGACUCUCAGAUGAGCUCGCGCUCUCUCCCUAACUCUUCCUCAGAGAUUUGUUUGAGGAAUCAGGAUGAACAACUGGAAGCCAGAGCUGGUAUGAGGAAACAUAGCUCCAUGAGCAGGCUGACCCGAGACACCUCUGAUGGAGAUGGUGUGAUUUUCUAUGGCUCCCCUCGCAGAAUUGUGGAUAGUUGUGUACAGACUGAUGACGAAGAUGGAGAAGAGAGGUACAUGAUGCGUCAUCGUACCAGGCGGCGUGGUCGGAGCGUUGACUGCUCCGUCCAGACAGAUGACGAUGAGGAUAAGGCUGAGCAUCCAGUUCGCCGUAGACGCUCCCGGUUUUCCCGCCACGCUGAGUCCACGGCAGCUGGCACCAGCACUGCCUCGACAACCACCUCAACUACAGACACCAAAGCUGACACAUCCAAGAUAGUUUCCUCCAGCAUCGCAGUCCAGACCAUCAGGGAGGUGUCCUGUCAGACAGAAGCUGAGCACCUAGGAAGAGUCUCCCCGGCAAUCCAUGUGACAUUACCAGACCCUAAUAAAGUAGAGAUUGUACACUACAUUUCUGGACCAGAGCGAACACAAAAAGGACAAUCUCUCGCCUGCCAGACUGACUCAGAAGGGCAGUCGCAGGGUGUUGUAGCUCCACAGCUAACCGUGCCAACUACAGUCAGUCCAUAUUCUUCCUCUACCGUUACCGGAACAGGGCCAUCCAGUUCGGCUGACCUUCACACCCAACAGCGCCAGCAGCAACAUGUUGCAGCAAAUGCAGCAAAAUUUGAGCGACGUCGUCCUGACCCAUUAGAUAUUAACUAUCAGCCUCACAACCACCUUCACAAUGAGUCCAUCUCCAGCCUCAUCCGGCAGCAACAAACCACACCAAAAUCUCCACAGGUCCUCUACUCUCCUGUGUCGCCAGUGUCCCCACACCGCCUGCUGGAGACCUCCCUGUCAAGCGAGAGACUGAACAAGGCCCACGUCACACCUCAGCAGAAGUCUUAUACAGCCGAAUCCCCCCAGCGACACCCGUCUGUGCCCCGACCCAUCAAGAGCACCCAUAGGUCCAUGUCAGACCCCAAGUCCCUCAGCCCAACCACAGAUGAGCACACCAAGGCCAGGCUGUCCCUGUAUCAACAACAAGCACUCCAGAGCCAGCUGGCAGCCUUACAGCAAAGCUCUUUGCUUCGGAAGGUUAAGCGAACCCUGCCCAGCCCUCCUCCAGACGAGACUGCUACAUCAGCUCACUUGACCAUGAUGACACCUGCCCAACAACAGAUCUACUUGUCCUCUGUGCCCAGCCUCAAGCCCAGCUCAAGGUCUGGCCUGGCUGCUAAAGCUAGCCUCCUCAAAGAUCUCACCCACGAGCUGAAGGCCGUGGAGCAAGAGUCUACCAAGCUUAGAAAGCAACAAGCUGAACUGGAGGAGGAAGAGAAAGAAAUUGACGCUAAGCUGAGAUACCUGGAACUGGGAAUUCACCAGAGGAAAGAGACUUUGGUAAAGGAGAGGGAAAGAAGGGACAUUGCCUACCUAAGAUGUAUGGGGGACACCAGAGACUAUAUGUCUGACAGUGAGUUGAAUAACUUGCGUUUAGCAGCUGCUGCAGCAUCACAUGAGACAAAUGGGCUACUAACAGCCAGACCAAGCACUGCUCCACUUAGCCAAUUUACCAGUGACCUCAACACAGCAGCCCAGUACCCACCAACCUCAUCCUUCCUCUCUUGUCAAUAUCUCCAGAGCCAACCACCAGCACCAUCUCAGCAAUCAAGUGUGCCAUACCAGUCAUCCACAUUCAACCAGCCUCCUUACCCAACAGUGUCACAGUCACAGGCCCUGCCACAGCCCAUGACCCUUCAGAGUCAUCCCCCUCCUCCUGGACCUACCUUUCAACCUCAAACAUCCUAUCCUUCCCACACCUAUCCACAAGCUCAGCCCCCUUAUCCCCAAACUGAUACGGGGUUACCAUCUGCACCUCAACCUCAGCCUCCAGCAGGGCCUACAGGUUUUGGACCUGCACCACCUGGUCAGCCACCAUACCCCACCCACAGCUCACCUUAUCCCAGCGCUGUGUCCCCCUACCCCACCCAGACGACUCCAUAUCCUGGGCAGCCUCAAGCUGAUAUUCUUACAGUUCACCCUGGAAGACCCAGACAGACAUCACUUGCUGAACUUGAACAUAAGAUGCCAACAAACUAUGAGACUAUCAGCAACCCGACAGUUGUGGUCAUGACCACAGCCCAAGAUGCUACCUUUUCCAGUGCAGCCCCAGCCUAUGGUCCGUACAUGGGAACAACAAUGGCAAGCUCCUAUGGGCCGUAUGGAUCUGCACCUGUUUCCAGCAGUUAUGGUGGUUACUCCACAGAGCCUCCAAGCACUUAUGGUCCAUAUACAUCAACCCCAGCUAGUUCAUAUGGCCAGUACACAACAACUACUGCUAAUACAUAUGGCUACACCACCACCACAGCCAGUUCUUAUGGACAGUACACUUCAACAGUUUCCAAUGCCUAUGGACACCCUGUAGACAGUCCUUCCACCUACGGCUCAGCAGAAGGAAUGUAUGGGGCUCCUGGUUUAGAGCAAAACAUUCCAAGGAACUACAUGAUGAUCGAUGAUGUGAGCGAGCUGACGGCAAAGGACGGGCUGGGCACGACAGCAGGGGACAUGAUGCAUCAUGGCAGUAGUGGGCGUUACCCUGGCGACAUCCAUGGUCAUGGCAGCACAUCUGGCAGCACGGCGCGUGGGGGAACUGGCAGCUCCCCCUACGGCAGGGCACCUGAGGAGGAAGCAGCGAUGCAGGAUGAGCUGUACGACCACCACGGCAGGGGUAAGAGCAGCUACAGGCACGGACCUCUAGGGGGCAGCAGCAGCAGCGUGAGCACUAGCAUGGGUGGGGGAUCCCCCUAUUUCUAUGACUACGACUACAAACUUGCCAGCAUCCGCUCCGGGGUGCAGAAACCUUUGGCGUCCUCCAGAAGCCUUCUGGCCCCCGCUGUCAUGUCCUCCAAGCGCAGCAAGCACAGGAAGCUGGGGACUAUGGAGCAGAAAAUUUCAAAGUUUUCCCCAAUAGAGGAGGCUCGAGAUGUCGAGGCAGAUUUGGUGUCCUAUUCUACAGGUGAGGCUUACCCCUCACCUCACAUUCGAGGGCGCCAGCUGAUCGAGGAUUAUGGCUUCAAGAGGAGUGCCUUUGAUGGCACCAGUGGCACAACUCAUGGAAGUCGAUGCUACGGUAUGAUGGUGGAUGAGGACGAUCGGAUUUACUACACCUCAACUGGCCGUUCCCGUUCCCAUGGCUACGGCAUGGACAAGAUCUCAGCCAGAGAUUACCAUAGCUAUCGAAGCAGAUCCUAUGAGAGAGACGACCGCUCCUACCGUUCUGGCUACAGAGGACGCCAUCCAACUCGGCAAUACUCUGAGGAGGAGAGCCCACUCAGCCCUUUGGGGAAAUUCAUGGGUUCUGGGAGAUCUUCGAGCUUAGGUCGUGACCCAUAUGACAGCCGCAGCAGUAGAUAUUAUUACUAUUAUGGCAAUUAUGGUUCCAGUCACUCGCUGCCAGAUGUUCAAGACCAUAUACGGGACCUUCCCCGGACACAUGUCUACAAAUCGGAUGAUACAUACAUUAUUGAUGAUUAUCAUUGUGCUGUGUCAGACAGUGAAGCCUACCAUCUGGGCCAGGAAGAAACUGACUGGUUUGAGAAACCACGCUCCAGUUCUCGACACUACGGCAGCAGCCACUCUGGAAGAAGUCGGCAUGGUGUCAAGCACACUUAUCAUGAUUAUGAUGAACCUCCUGAGGAGGACCUGUGGCCGCAAGAUGAGUACAGCCAUGGCGGGCGGCAUUCAUCAUCACGUGACCACAGGCACCAUGGCACCUCUAGCCGGCACUCUUCCUCCCGUCACUCAGAUGAGCCGAGAUCCUCGAGGUCAUCUAAGGGGCAUCCCAAAGACCCGUCUAUGCGCCAUGACCCCUCAGGACGUUCUUCAUCUUCAGGAAGGCGUGGUGAGUCCAGGUCUGGAGGGUAUCACUCUUCCGACUACUCACGGGAUCCAGCUGGACAUCAUCACGGCCAAAGAUCUUCCAGGCAGGGAGAUCCCCACAGAUCAUCACGCAGCAAGUCCCAGGGCCAAGUAGACAUGCAGGGCCAACCACCAGGCUCAUCCAGGUCCGGCACCAGUACUGGGCGAGUUCAGGGCUCUGCUGGUGGGCCUCCAGGAUCCGGGCGACUAGGCGGUCCCGGUUCACAGACGGAUGGGACCCAAGGACAGAGGACUCAGCUCCAACAGCAGGCCCAGACAGCUGCAGCCAGACCGGGACAGCCUGGCACAACAUCGACCACAGGCCUUCAGCAGCAGCCACCAGCCCAAGGUCAAGGCAUGGGCAUGGGGAUGGGCAUGGGCAUGGGCAUGGGUCAGGCCCAGGCCAAACCAGGGCAAAUGGGACCAGCAGGCGGGCCGAUGGGGCAGGCUCGACCAACUGGUGCAGCAGGAACCACACCGCCCACCAUGACAAAGAUCGACACACCUCCUGUAACAGCAAUUGGGGCGAAAGCGGCACCUGUCAUGGCCUCGAAGGCAGGCCAGCCCCCGCUUACAGGAAUAGGCUCCAAGGCAGCUCCGAGACCCGGCGGCAUCGGCAGUGCGGCGGCAGGUCAGCCUGGCAUGGAGGGAGAAGGAAUGUUUUCCAAGAUUCUUCCUGGAGGCGCUGCUGAGCAGGCCGGCAAGCUGGGAGAAGCUAUCUCUGGCUUUGGCAAGAAAUUCACCUCCUUCUUCUGAGGUGACACAAAUAAGGAUUAUGAAAAAUGUCAUAAAUGAAGUCAUGAGACCUCAUACAAGAAAAACCUGUGAAGUUCCCCCUGCUUUUGUUUUCCUGAAAAAAGAGAAAGGAAGGGGAGAGAGAGGAUGAUGGCUGAGAGGAGAGCGGAGCGUUCUGAUCAUUCCAAGCCCGAGCCGACAUCCAGCUUCAGAAGGAUCCCCAUUGUUAUGCAGCUUCUCUCAGAAAACCUGCAGAAGCUACAAACAUCUACACCCCUACAUGGAAACAGAGCAGCUGGGGGCUGAAAGUGACAGCAGAAGAAACAGCUGUACGACCGUGAUCACCCUCCCUCCCAGCAGCGGGAGCCGUGUUCAUGCAGAGGUCCCCCACAGCCCGACACGUGGAUUUAAAAGUUACGUUGACUUGGUGCGGAGAACGGCUGACGACCGCAUUUAUCCACGAGAGCUGCUUUCAUCCUAACUUCCUGUAGAAGGCGGUAGCUUGGUUUUCCAGUCCUGUGCUCAAUCUUGAAGGAAUAUAAGUCACCUCUCCUCUUUUCUAUCUUUUUCCAAAGCAAACAAUGAGCAAAAAAAAAAAAAAAAGAAGUGAAAACUCACAGAGGCAUCACAGGUUUUUCUUGCACGAAAGUCGUCUCAUUAGACCACCGAAUACCGACGAGGAAAUCAUCGAAACGUCACUAUGAAUGAAGCAGACGAUGAAGAAGCGGCGGCCGACACAGCCCAAGCAUGUCGCCACGCAUUUAUUAUUUUUUUUAUUUUCACCCUCUAUCGACAUUCCAGCUGAGGAACUGUGCCCUUCUACUUCACUUCUUUUGCGUUUCUUGAAUGCCAGCUCUUCUUUCUUUCCACACCCCACUGCAACAGUUCACAAGUUGCCAUGUCUUUAAACAAGAGUAGUGUGGAUUUGAACUUGCAGAAAACAUGGGAAUGCAUGGAACUUUAUAACCAAGACCUUACACUGUUUCAUCAUUAUGUAACUGAGGCCAUAAAGACAUCUGAGCUUAAAGGCGUAAAUAAUAGCAAAGAAAGGUUAAAUAAGCAACACAAAGGAUCUGGCCAUGGGAAUAAGAAGAGCUUUUUGUUUAAUUUCCUUUUUUUAUUAGUUUUUUUAUGUUGUUGUUUUUUUUUUUUUUUAAGAAAGCUGUAUGACUAAGUGAGGCAAAUGAAACAGUGGGGUUACUUUCUAGCCAAUUUAAAGCCAUUAAGACAAUAUUUACUAUCGGUUUAUGUGUCAAAUCUCCAAAAUGCUCCACAAUUUUGACUUUUAGUUAAUAUGCCUUUUUGUGUUUUUUUUUUUCUUCUUCUGUGUCAAUUGCCUGUUUUUUAUGUUGCAGUUUACCAACAUCGCCUUAAUUAUUUCAAAUGUUUCAUUUUAAAUCAGAAGCGGCGUAUUUUUAUGCCGUUAGGUAAGCUGGAACCACAGCCACAGAGAGGUUAAUUUCUAUUUUUUUACCUUAACAUUGUUUUUCUUUAUAUAUAUAUAUAUUUUCUUGUGAUAUGAUUUUAUUUAUUUUCUAGCGUUUUGUUAAAUUGAACUAGGCUCCCCUCCCGUUGACAGUUUUCAGACUCUUUGUUCCUAUCAAUAAUUAUGAAAGCAAUAGAGCAAGAGGUAAGAAAGUGAAUAGCACAAUUUUGUGUCCUUUUCCAAAAAUGUGUUGCCUUCGUUUGUGUGGUUUACCGCCAAAGCUCGGCUUUAGUGUGACUCAAACGCACCACUUGUUGGACUGUUGCUGUAUGAACUUAGCAGAGAGCAGGAGUUCGGUGACGCCCAGACUGGCGGUUCGGACCGACGUGCUGCUUUCCUUCAGCUGGAGUCUGAUCUGAGAGCACUGCAGGGCAGCAGAGAGGCGCAGAAAAGCAGCAGAGCUGGACCAUUCAUCACUUUUCAGUGUGGGAGGCAAGAGGGAGUGUUUGUUUUUGGAGGUUUUUAUUGGGAUUCUUCUGAUUCUCCGAGAUGGACUCCUUACACAGCUGUGUCCGCAUGUGUCUUCACUCUUGUCAAAUGUGAACCUGAAAGCACACUUGGAGUGGUGUCAGUGAUCUUACUCAAAAAAAAAAACCUGCUGUCAUGUGACUGAGGAACCAAAAAUAACACACUCUGAUGUGUCACAAAGUCACUCGCCUUUUUAAAAAAACAAACAAAAAAAAACGGCCUAUUUUCUAUCGCGGUGGGAGUUCAGACGUCUGACCCGACACCCCUUCUCCAAGACAACAGAAACAAAUCUUUUCUCUCAGACUGUCAGUCACCUUGGAAAUAUUCUCAGGUCAGUAUUCACCCUGCUUUUGCUCCUGCAGUGCAUUGUGGGGAAUCUGCGGUCCGGCCCUCAUGACAGGGCCCAACUCGGCGAGGCCUCCUUCUCCACCUCCCCCUCUUUCUCCAAACCAACCAACUUCUGCUGUAUAUUGUCUUUGUGAACGCUUGCUGGGAACCUUCGCAUGCUGCCCCGGCGCAGAGGAAAACCUCAGUCACCUCUAUAUUGUUCUUGUUCCUGACGUUUGUACGUAUGCGUGUAUGUAUGUGCGUGUUCGGGGGUUCAGUAUGCGAGUAUAUAAAAAAUAAUCAUCACCUAAUGUGGGGAAAAAAACAAAAAGUUCAACCACGACGAGCAUCGCAGGCAAAGGAGGCAAAGUCGUUCUAUGCAAUGAAUCCUGUUUGAGAAAAACCUGAGGCGGUGAAGGCAUGUGAAGAAUAACGUAGAAGGAAGUCGCAGUCAUUGUUGAUCACUCCUCAGUUAGAAACCAUGUCUGCUUUGUUUCAUUUCUGUGAAAUUUUGUAAUAAAAAACACGUCGCUUCUCCUUUGAUAUGGGGAGCUGAAGACAUGUUCACAACAACUGGGAAAUUUCACUUGUAACAUGGCCAGGAAGCGCAGCUCACCAAGCCUUUUGGGCAGCAGUGAAAUUGGUUAAAAGUAUUUAAACAGUCAUUGAGCUGAAACGCUGUCUGGUAAACAACAGCUCUAUAAUAUAUAUGUAGAUGGAGAGUGAAAUGUCCAAGUUGUCAUGAAUACGUCUUUCCCAGUAAUAACUUUGUUGAUUAGUUUAGCAGAACUGAACUGGGUUCACAGAAAAGCUUUCUAAAGAUUUAUAUACUUAACUAUACUAUAGGUGUUGGGCUGCUCAGGGCUUCUCUCCUGACCAGAAACAGAAUUUGCUAUAAUAAUGUCAUUGUGCAGACAGUGCUUCUCCCCAGGACGUUUUGCUCUGAUCUUAAAAGAAAAAUCUAAUUUAGGCAUUUAAAAAAUACACAAAUAAAUAUAAAUCUGUAGAUUAGUUUUGAAUUAAGUACUGUAAACGUCUACUGAAGCAAAAGUGCCCUAUAAGAUGUAUCUUUCUAUGGUGCAGUGAAGCACUAUUCAGAGCAUUCCUGAUGUGAUUAUUUUUGGGUAACAGUGAAUUUGGAGGCAUGUGUCAUUGUGGAAUGUACACUGGAAAGUAAAUGUACAGAGCAAAAAUCAUCUGCCAGUUUACAUAAAUGUGUUAGCUUUUUGGUAGCAGCACACUUAGGAAAUGUGGCUAAAAAUGAAGGUAAUCCAAAAAAAAAAUAAAAGUCAUUUAAGGGGAUGUCAUGAUCCGAAAAAUAGGAUUGCAAUAGAGGCAUUUUAAAUGAUCAACAUUGAAGUCUCUGACUAAAUUCCCAACACCUGAAGGUGUUUCUUGCAUUUGCAGUUUUCAUGCUAGCCACACACCCAGCAACUGCAUGCACAAUUUGAACACAACAUUUUGUCAAGAAUCACAAUUUUAGGUAGGCAUAGUUCCAAAUAUUUUUGUUUUGACUUUACAAAUGUUAAAGUUUUCCAUCCUUAAGAAGUACAUUUACACCACAGUAAAGAAAAAAAAAAGUCCAUAUCAGGAGCAGCAGCUAGUUGUAGCUAGUUGUGUUAGGCGGGAGAGCUGUGUAGCUGAAACACCACAGAUUCAAUUUUAAGAUGUUCAAAGCUAAUUUUACUAAGAGGUAGUAUAUAUUUCUCUGUAAGCCUUAUUCACAUUAACUCCAAUCACUUUGAAAUACGUUGCUAGCUGAACUAUCAACAUGUCGCAUGCUUCACCAAACUACUCCCUACAAAAACAACAGCAGGAACAACACGAGAGUUUACUGAAGGUGGUAGGUGUAUUUGUUGAGUCAGAUAUGAUUUUAUAAACAAAUGGUAAAGCUAUGUGCAUUUUAGGUGCAUUAUCAGGAGAUUAUGGUCGCUUUCCUAACCUAGCUAACCCUCUGGUGGAGCAGCAUAUUGACUCUGACCUGAGGAAACUCCCACUGGGACAAAUAAGCAAGGAAAACCUAAGUAUCCAGAAUGUCGCUGGUUAGAUUAUGUAAUAUGUGUUUCUUUUACUGCAUAUACAUUCCAUAGAUGUUAAUAAAAUAGUUUAUAGGGAACAAAAACCCCUGACUGAGACCUCAAUUAUAUAUGUGAAAAAAGAUCCCUCCAAACCUUUUCAGAACUCUUAUGACUUUCACAAAUCACUUAUCCAUGUAAAAAUAGUCUAUAUAUUUUUUUGAAAUAUUAAAAAUAUAAUUCAUUCUAUGUAAAAACUUAUUUUAUCAAACAGAGAGGAGAUAUUAAGAUAACUGGAAUAAAGGCUGAAACAAAUCUAGCCACAAAAACACUAUAUGACGAAAGACAUCUUAUAUAAAGAUCGAUCUAUUGCUUAUGUUAUUGCACAACAAAUAUAAUCAGAUUGUCAAAGCAUAAAUAGAAAUUCUGCCUAAACAGAGUUUAUUUUAUUUAAUAAAUGAUAUAGUGGCAAAGGUAUUUUACCUUUGUUCCAAAAACGUAAACAGCAACAUUUCAUGCCUUUCAUUGACCUCCAAUAAGUUGGAUGCACAUGAUCCAAACAGAGUUUAUUUUACAGAUGCACUUCCUCUAGAUCAGUGUUUUAAACAAAAUGAACAAAAACGUUAAAAGCAGAUGAUGCGCACGAAAGUCUAGAUUUACCCAAUUUAACACCAACUUCCUCUAUUUUGUGUCUUACAUUUUUGGAAGUUUGUAAAAAAAAAAAUACAUAUAUAUAUAUAAAAAUGAAAACAAAAUAAAAUGAUUCUCAAUCACUUCUGCCUCAGGAAAGCACACACGCGUAAUGCAGCCUUGCAACGGAAGACAUUCAGACGACGCUAGAAGACCGUGAGUGUGUUCAUGCAGGUGCAGGACGUCAGUGGGUGUGUGUGUGUGUGUGUGUGUGCGUGUGUGUGUGUGUGUGCGUGUGUGUGUGUGUGUGUCAGGACGACUGAGAGGGGCAGGAAUGUAGAGCAACUGUACAAUAACAGAUGAGACUGUUCGUGUAGCUGUGCAAACGUUGCAUAGAGUUGGUGAUGAAACAUGAUUUCAGACAAACACAGACGUGAGGAAACAAUAAUCAAACAAAACAUUACAAUACCUAUCAGCCAGCAGCUCUCAGGAGCUCAGCCGGGGCUCCAUAGUGUUAAGUGACAACUUUCCAAAUUUUCUGCGCCAGAAAUGUGUAUAUGUAUGUCUUUUAACGCUAAACGUGAGCGUAUCACUUUGACAUAAAAGCUAGAUAUUAAAACGAGUCAUUUCGCUGCUUCUGCAUGUUUCAUUUCUGCUUGAAUGUGCAGGUAGUGGAAAGCGGAUUCCAGCGUGAACCUAGGAUGUAAAGACCUUUUCUGCUAAACGUUUACCCACCAGAGUUUAGCACAUCGCUCAGAGAAGUGUGUGCGACUGUGUGGCCUGUGCAGCUUUACAAUAAUGGAAAUGAAAGACUUUACGCAGCAGCAUUUUGUCUCUUGCAUCUGGUGGUAAUAUUGAAACUCAAAGCAGGAAGUUGCCCCGCUGUUUUAACCCCAGAGCACACUUCUGACCGGUUGUUAAACCCAAUCAGUUCUGGAGCUUUUAAUCCAUCUGUGCUUUCAUUCUCUUGGUAGGUGUGUUUGUUCUCAGCUGAUCCAUUUUUGGAUGACGGACCCCAAGGCACCGAUGGAUAUGUACACCUGUAGCAGGACGAAAAAAAAUAAC